UACGUAGGGUGCGAGCGUUGCCCGGAUUUAUUGGGCGUAAAGGGCGCGUAGGCGGCUCGGCACGUCCGUUGUGAAAUCGCCCGGCUCAACUGGGCGGGGUCGGCGGAUACGGCCGAGCUGGAGCAAGCUAGGGGGUAAUGGAAUUCCCGGUGUAGUGGUGGAAUGCGUAGAUAUCGGGAGGAACCCCAGUGGCGAAGGCGGUUACCUGGAGCUUUGCUGACGCUGAUGCGCGAAAGCGUGGGGAGCGAUCCGG
rnacentral:rRNA from 1 species